CAGAAAGACCCUAUGAAGCUUUACUGUAACCUGGAAUUGCUCUCAAGCUUAUUUUGCGCAGCUUAGGUGGGAGACGUUGAACUUCUUUUUCCGGAAAGGAGGGAGUCAUCAGUGAGAUACCACUCUUGGUAAGCUAGAGCGCUCAUUUCUAACCGUUAUCCGGUAGAAAGACAGUUUCAGGCGGGCAGUUUGACUGGGGCAGUCACCUCCCAAAGAGUAAUGGAGGUGUACAAAGGUUCGCUCAGGCUGGACGGAAAUCAGCCAUAGAGUGUAAAAGCAAAAGCGAGCUUGACUGCGAGACUGACAUGUCAAGCAGAGACGAAAGUCGGUUUUAGUGAUCCGACGGUGCUGAGUGGAAAGGCCGUCGCUCAACGGAUAAAAGUUACUCUAGGGAUAACAGGCUGA
rnacentral:rRNA from 1 species